rnacentral:lncRNA from 1 species
GGGCAGGGCACCUAGGGCAUGGAGCAGGAGGACUAUGGAAGCCACCAAGAAGGUGGGGGGCCCUGAUCCAUCGGGUCCCCAGGACCACCCCUCAGCCGGCAGCCAGCAGCUGGGGAGUGGCCUCAGAGGGUCUCAGGGACCACGGAUAAGCUCAGAAUCCCUAUACUUCAAGCAGGGGUUGUCAUUGUCUACCAAGACCAUCACUGAUGGUGCCUGUGGCCCAGCCUCCCAGGCCUGCAUCCCUGGGUCCAUUUGCCAGCUACUCCAGGAUCCUGCUUGGGUUAGCUCCCAGUGCUGCUGUGAGCAGGCCUCCCAGGAUGCCCCGAGACUCUCCUCCACUAGUGUAUCUUCAAGUCCCAUUGUGGGAGCCCAACAACAUCUCAUCAUGGAGGAUGUCACCCUGACCUUACCAGAGUGCAUGCACAGUGACAGCACCAGUGACAUAGCCCAGUGUGGACCCUGCCACCUUCGGUUUCAGGUGCAGAAUUUGGGGGAAGGCAAGCGUCCAGCUAAGGUCCUGGUAGGCUGGGGCAAAGGCCCCUGCAGCUCCGACCAGAUAGCCUCCUUGGGCAGCAGGAAGAGUCGGUGGCUGCCCUUCCUCCUCUCAGGAGAGAAUGGUGCUCCCGAAGCCCAAGGUGCUCUUCUGGCUCCAGCUCAGGAUCUAGCCCAAGAUCAGGACCAGGCUUGGGCUACGACUCCAGCUCUGGAUGUUACCCCAACCCCCACUGCAGUUGAAACUGACA